UUCCCUCUAGAUGAGAGCAGAUCAGAGUCAC
rnacentral:piRNA from 1 species